UGGGGGAUAUUGCACAAUGGGGGAAACCUUGAUGCAGCAACGCCGCGUGAAGGAAGACGGUCUUCGGAUUGUAAACUUUUGUCUUGCGGGACGAAUAAUAACGGUACCGCAGGAGGAAGCCACGGCUAACUUCGUGCCAGCCGCCGCGGUAAUACGUAGGUGGCGAGCGUUGUCCGGAAUUACUGGGUGUAAAGGGUGCGUAGGCGGAUUUGCAAGUCAGGUGUGAAAUCUGUCGGCUUAGCCGGUAGCCUGCACUUGAAACUGUGAGUCUUGAGUGGUGAAGAGGUAAGCGGAAUUCCUAGUGUAGCGGUGAAAUGCGUAGAUAUUAGGAGGAACACCUGUGGCGAAGGCGGCUUACUGGGCACGAACUGUCGCUGAGGCACGAAAGCAUGGGGAGCAAACA
rnacentral:rRNA from 1 species